AUUGAACGCUGGCGGCAGGCCUAACACAUGCAAGUCGAGCGGAUGAGUGGAGCUUGCUCCAUGAUUCAGCGGCGGACGGGUGAGUAAUGCCUAGGAAUCUGCCUGGUAGUGGGGGACAACGUUUCGAAAGGAACGCUAAUACCGCAUACGUCCUACGGGAGAAAGUGGGGGAUCUUCGGACUUCACGCUAUCAGAUGAGCCUAGGUCGGAUUAGCUAGUUGGUGAGGUAAAGGCUCACCAAGGCGACGAUCCGUAACUGGUCUGAGAGGAUGAUCAGUCACACUGGAACUGAGACACGGUCCAGACUCCUACGGGAGGCAGCAGUGGGGAAUAUUGGACAAUGGGCGAAAGCCUGAUCCAGCCAUGCCGCGUGUGUGAAGAAGGCCUUCGGAUUGUAAAGCACUUUAAGUUGGGAGGAAGGGCAGUAAGUUAAUACCUUGCUGUUUUGACGUUACCAACAGAAUAAGCACCGGCUAACUUCGUGCCAGCCGCCGCGGUAACAC
rnacentral:rRNA from 1 species